rnacentral:sRNA from 1 species
GGCCCACCCCUGAGAUACCUUGGAGGGACUCUUUCAAAGCCCCGGGAAACACUGGCAAACUACUCCGUACACUGAGUAGUUACAGAUUACUGCGCGCAGGGUCAAAAUCUCACUCACUCCCUAACUAUCAGAUAUCUUCACUUUACGGUAAUCCAAUGCCCGGUACUGACAGAACCCUCCGGAAUGUCCGAAAGCUUCCAAACCCUCGGACCGUCGCCACCAAGGGAAAAUAAAACAAAUCAAGGAAGAAAAAAAAACCCCCGCACAAAAGAUCUGAAACGAAGUGUUCCAAACACGGAUCCAUACCGAGAAAAAAAAAAGGAAAAACAAGAAAAACGAAACAUAGAGUAAAGCCACCACCUACCUGCGUGACAGAAUCCUAGCUAGAUAGCUAAGUACCUACCUACCUCCCCUACCUCAAUCAAUCUCCAUGAGGAUAAACCUUCCACACAAGGUAGGAUUUUUCCCAGCUUAUGCGCCACCAGCACCAGGCUUACUUUUGUCAUGCCUCUGGCCGAUUUCUUUUUCAAUGUUCCAUGUAUGUGGAUGCCGCCUGCUGCUAACCGUGAACUGAAAGCGCUCCAUCGACUCCAGGCGGAUUUGCAGGUACAAAAAAACCUGCUGAAAUUCCCGUCCAGCCAAAGCCCA